CCCCCCCCCCCGCCCCCCGCCGCGGCCGGGGAUGGGCCGCCGUUUCUGGAGGGCCCCGACACGCCGAAGCUUGAGAGACUGGAGCCCACUACGUUGCAGCUGCCUGAGGACGAGGACGAGGACCGUUUCCAGGGGUGGAAGCCUUUGCCGAAGGAAGAUGAGCUGUCCGAGAGGGAGGAGGGGGACGGGCUGGGGUUGCCCCUUUCCCGGGGGUGGAGGCCUUUGCCGAAGAAAGAUGAGCUGUCGGAGGGGGAGGGGGGAGAGGGGCUGGGGCUGCCGAUCUUAUUACAGGCUGACGCUUACCAUAAAUGUCGUGUUUCUCCCUGCAAGCCACUCUGAAUGAUUUUAGCGUGUUGAGAAGGCGUGACAGGCCAGCCCAGAAGGAGGAAGGGGUGGGGGAAAGGAGGGAACUCCGUUUAACAAAUAAAAGAGAAUUAACUUCAUUGCUUUGGUCUCCUUCUAUAAUGAUAUUCAUUUUAAAGACCUAAUAUACAGUUGUUCAAAUUUGGGAUUUAAUUCUAAUCAAUACCGUCACCCUCAAAGGUGGAGAAAGAAAGCUUUAGGGAAGACUCCCUUCUAUGAAUAGUUAUUUAUUUUAUCUUUUUAU
rnacentral:lncRNA from 1 species